UACGUAGGGUGCAAGCGUUAAUCGGAAUUACUGGGCGUAAAGGGUGCGCAGGCGGACUGGUAAGUCAGUGGUGAAAUCUCGUCGCUUAACGACGAAACUGCCUUUGAUACUAUCAGUCUUGAAUCCGGUAGAGAUCUGUGGAAUUCCGAGUGUAGCAGUGAAAUGUGUAGAUAUUCGGAAGAACACCAGUGGCGAAGGCAGCAGAUUGGGCCGGUAUUGACGCUCAGGCACGAAAGCAUGGGGAUCAAACAGG
rnacentral:rRNA from 1 species